ensembl:lncRNA
AUGAAAUGCAUCCAGAGAUCUCCAUUGCCAUGGUUACAUGAGCCUUCCUGUGAGAAGGGCCCUUGUGAAAUCCAAAAUCCAAGCAUACUGAUGUGCUCACGGUCAGUUCAAGGCUGCUGCCUUUCCUGUUUUUUGCUGGGGCAGCUGUUUCCCUGUAUUUCCAUUUUCUCCACUGAGAGUGUUUAUGGCUGCAGCAAAUUGGUAGUAGGAAGGUUUGAGCUUUGCAGGAUGGAUUCCCUCUAUCCUCAUAUUUUUUUUUCUAGGUAUUUCACUAAGUUCAAUUGCAAACGUCUGGGUCUAGAGGAACCUGCCAGCUCUUUCCCUCCCACUGCACAUGCUGAAGACAGAUGUUUAUCAGUAUCUCAUACUUGGUGCUUCAGAUGGGUAUCGCUCUGCUGGCAACAAACACCUUUCACUCCCAAGCUGUAAGAGCCAAACACACUGCCAGCUCAGCAGCACUCCAGUGCUGUGGUCUCAGCAGGCAUCUGCGUGACCAUCAGAGAGGAGCAAACAAAACCCCUCCUCCAGGGGAUAACUUGAGCAGGAGAUAAAGGUUAAACUUGCCUCCUCCACUAAGGUGAGUGCCCCGAAUUCCACCCAAGAGCCAGGGAAGAGAGCUGGCAACCCAGCCCUCUGUUUUACCAACAGCUUGUGCCCAUCCAUGUGACACCGAGGCACAUCAACACCAUCAGGCAGCACGGGGCUCUUGCGCAUGAAUAGCUGGAGCCCUCUCCUUUCACGGCAGGUGACACGGACCCUCUGUCCUGCCCUGGGACAGGGUACGUGCAGCCUGACCAGGCGGAUCCAGGUCCAGAUGGUACCACAGCACUGCUGCGUGGCUCUGCCACUACUUCCCAAAGCCCUACUUUGCAGGAUCCCCAGCUCCCCACAUGGCCUGGCUCUUUGUAGGGGUUAUGCGCAGUGUGGGAUGGUCACAUGAGGAGGAAUGCUAAAUUUGUAUCCGCCACCCUGCCAUAAGAAAGAAGAGGCUCAAGAGAUGCGUUGGCGUAAUAGCCUUUCCAGCUAUUUUAGCAGCACUCCCACAGCAACCUAAAAGGCUGCGGUGCAAAAGAAGAAUCCUGCCUUCAGUUUCUAGAGCUGUCAUACAGGCUCACUUUGUCAUUAUGAAAUUUAAAACAAAAAAAAAGUUAAAUGAUGAAGAAAUAUCCUGCUGUUUCCCAUUCUUAAAAAAAAAAAGAAAUUGAGGAUGAAAAUGGCAAAUUCAUUUGCUCAUGCUGUUGUGUUCCGGAAAAGCUUUUAAAUCUUCACAUUCAAGGAGAUGCAGCAGAAAAAGAACUGCUAUUGAAGUUUCUUGUAUCAUUUCAAAACAUUAAGUGGGUAAUUGCUUGUAAAAGCCAUAAAGGGGAGAGAACAAAAAAAAAAAAAAAAAAUCAGUAUAAUUUUAGCUCCUGUUUUGGAAAUGACUUUGCUUGUGAAAGUUAAUAUAUUCUUUUACCAGAAAACUUGAAUCAAGAAAACUAUAUAUCUUCUUAAGUCAACUGCUUGCUCUACUUGUAAGGACAAGGAGAAGAGCAGCAAUUCUAAGUAAUCCUGUACAAAGCAAGCUGCGUGUCAGAGAAAGAGGGCUUUUAUUACCAUUUUUCAGGAGCUGUUCUUUUUUCAGUGUGGAGAAUUAUUUCAUUAAACCUUACAUGCAGAAAUAACAUCCUCAUGCCAAGAGGCAGGUAGGUGCUGACUCACUCUUCGGUUGCAAAAUGACAAUGCAAGAUCCUAAUUACUUCGUUUGUGAAAUCCUCUUGUGUCUUCAUGCCCUACCCAGAAUUGCAUUCUUGCCUAGGGUGCUUGUCAUCAAUGUCACAUCAAUGAGAAUAUGAAGGCUUGCAUGGCAACCUGGUGAGAUCCACUGCCCAGAACAAAUCUCUGUCUUCUCUGGCAGACAGCUGAAAUAGAAGGGAGCCCUGCAUCCCCUAAGCAACCCUGUAGGCCACCAGCUGCAAUCCCAUAUCCUCUGGCCAGCUCUCAAAAGAGGGAGAGAUGAAAGAAGAAAGAAACAUGCUCCUUUCAGAAGAUGGAGAGAAGAGCAUGGGCAUGAAAUACCCCUGAAUGCAUCUGCUCUUCAGUUGUUUGUCAUUACCUUGGGCCCAGUGAUGAGGUGUCUCUGAUGCAUCCAGCCCUAUAGUGAUUCAAGCUGCUAAUCCUGAGCAAUAACCAGCAAGGAAGAUGCUGGGAGCAGGAGGACACUCUUGUACUGCCAUAUCCCCCCCUGCUCUCUGUUCUGUUGCUGCUUCACUGACAAGUAAAUGGAAUUAGCGUCACUGUCAUUUCAAAGUCGUUCAUCUAAGGAGUACAAUAAGAUCAGUGUGAGAUUUUACUCCCUUUUUGCUUCAUUCUUCUUCAGAGUUAAAGAAAAUAAUAAAUCCAGCCCUUAUUGACCUGGGGAUGUCUUA